rnacentral:tRNA from 1 species
GCUACUGUGGCUCAAUGGUAGAGCAGAUCAUUCGUAAUGAUCAGGUUGAGGGUUCGAUUCCCCCCAGUAGCUCCA